rnacentral:rRNA from 1 species
GAUGAACGCUGGCGGCGUGCCUAAUACAUGCAAGUCGAGCGAACAGAUGAGGAGCUUGCUCCUCUGACGUUAGCGGCGGACGGGUGAGUAACACGUGGGUAACCUACCUAUAAGACUGGGAUAACUUCGGGAAACCGGAGCUAAUACCGGAUAAUAUAUUGAACCGCAUGGUUCAAUAGUGAAAGACGGUUUUGCUGUCACUUAUAGAUGGAUCCGCGCCGCAUUAGCUAGUUGGUAAGGUAACGGCUUACCAAGGCAACGAUGCGUAGCCGACCUGAGAGGGUGAUCGGCCACGCUGGAACUGAGACACGGUCCAGACUCCUACGGGAGGCAGCAGUAGGGAAUCUUCCGCAAUGGGCGAAAGCCUGACGGAGCAACGCCGCGUGAGUGAUGAAGGUCUUCGGAUCGUAAAACUCUGUUAUUAGGGAAGAACAAAUGUGUAAGUAACUAUGCACGUCUUGACGGUACCUAAUCAGAAAGCCACGGCUAACUACGUG